AGACCACGGUUUUAAACUGUGGCCUAUACUAUAGGCCACGGUUAAAAACCGUGGCCUAUAGUAUAGGCCACAGCUUAAAACCGUCGCCUAUAGUGUUUACUAUAGGCGACGGUUUUAAACCGUGGCCCAUACUAUU